rnacentral:lncRNA from 1 species
GGCAACAUGAAGGAAGAAACAGCUCUCCUGGCGACCGUCACCCUCCUGGGAGUUCUGCUGCAAGCCUACUUCUCCCUACAGGUGAUCUCUGCGCGAAGAACUUUCCACGUGUCGCCGCCGCUCACCUCUGGCCCUCCCGAGUUCGAGCGCGUCUUCCGAGCCCAGUGAGCGCAGCGGGUACGGGCGGGUUCGGGUGUCAGCCCAUGCGGGCCGCGCGCUCACCGCGCCGCAGCCCUGUGCGGACUGUUCUACCUGUUCGCGCGGCUCCGCUACUUCCAGGGAUACGCGCGCUCCGCACAGCACAGGCUGGAUCCCCUGUACGCGAGCGCGCGCGCGCUCUGGCUGCUAGUGGCAAUGGCUGCACUGGGCUUGCUAGUCCACUUCCUCCCUGGCACACUACGGGCUGCGCUCUUCAGAUGGCUCCAGGUGCUCCUGCCGAUGGCCUGAGGCGAAGGACCUCCAAGUCAGCAGAACUGGAGAUCUUCGAACUAAACGCUGGGGCGCCCACCUCCGAAUCCCAAUUUCUAAUUAAAGUUUCCACGAA